AUGAAAAUCAGUAACAAAACUAGGGUGUUUUCAAGACGAAUGUGUGCUCUUCAAACAGAGUUCAUGAGGAGUCUAUUACAGUAGAACUAAAUGGCUUAUUGCUAUUACUUUCCAGGGAUCCUCAGGAAGCACUUAUUCUGGAAAGCAACAACCACCUUCCUCAGGGGGUAGUCAAGUGAGCUCUGCUGGGAAACACUCCAGUCCCCAACUCCUGCUGUUGUUUAGCAUUUUGAGUACCUUCGCACUCUCUGCUAUUACAUCAAAAUGGUCUAUGUGAACAUCAGAAGAUGUGCUCGGCAUCCUAGACGUGGAUUAUACGCAGUAAUAUUAGAUUAAUUACUUAUGUCAGGAAAAAAAAAACAACCAACAACACCAUAAAGUCAAAUUGAAAUCAAAUCAAAAGAUGUUACUUGGGCUACCAUGGUCCAUGUCUGGUUACUGUCAUGUCUUUCAUUAGUUUCUUUGGGUUUAGUCAUUAGAUAUCAUUACUUUUGUCAGUGUUCUAGGUGCCAUUUUAAGUGAGCGUACUGUACCCUGGCUAAAUGAUUUCAUUAAAUUAUUUUUAUGUCCAGGGGAAAAUGUGAUGAACACCUACCUGAAAACAGAUUGGUGUGAGAAACAAUUGCUUAGACAAUAUGUGGUUAGUAACCAACACAGAAUGUCAGACAGAUGGUUUCAUUUGCAAAACUUUAUUUGAGCACUGUCACUGCCCCUCACUGCAUACAAUAAAGAUGACCUCUAACUUCUUGUGAACAAUCCUCCAUGUCAUGGCAAAAAGGAUGCUAAAAUAAUAUCAUACUAUCGGCUUUUGUGGAAUGUAAACAAAUUCAUACCCAACAUGGAGGUUGCAAAGCA